GGGGCCGAACCAGUAUAAACUCCCUGCGUCCCUUGUCCGCUUUAACCCCUUUAAGCUAACCCGUCACGAUGGCUCCACGACUAAGUCCUUUCACUAGGACAUCUGCCGUGACAAAACCACGACAGAUAUCAUAUUCUUUUUUUGUAUUACUAAUGUCCAGUCAAUGGAAAAUGCUUUUAUUGCUUUGCCUAGACUUUGUGACAAUUAACUUAUAGUGCGAUCAUUGAUCAUUGAGCUUCUAACACCCUAUUCCGUAAAAUUCUGUUGUAAUAUUUGCUGGAUCAUUGAGUACUUAAUAUUGAUUUUGAGUUUGUUGGAUCAUUCAACUUCUGUGUGUGCUUCGGUUAUCUGAGAAGCACUCACGAUCCUGUGCUUCGUGUUCGCCGUCUGGUUUUGAAUUUGGAUUACGGGGACGGGGAGAGGCCAAAGCAAUGUCAGUUUAUCGUGUUUGUUCAGAUCGGUUCCUCGGUUCCGUCGCUGCAUUGUUCGUCGGCGAUUUCCAGACCUCGAACGCAUGUGCCCUUGUGAUACUCUGGUUUGGCUCGCUGGUCGUUAUGGUUGUUCGUCACAGUUGUUCUUAUGUUGUUGAAUCACCCAUCUUAUAAGCAGAGAUGGGGUGAUUCAUUAUGGUUGUUCUGAUGGUUGCUUAUUUAGUGUUAUUUCCAAUUGGGUUCUUCUUGUCAUGCUUUGCUUAUGUUCCCAAUGUCUGUCUUUCCAUAUAUGGGAAUGCGUUUAGAGGUGCAAACCGUGUAGGCCGUGGUGUGUUUUAUACUAGCUACGGUGUGUUUUAUACUAUCUGAUGUGGAAGGUAUAAAUAUUGAUAUCACUUAUGUGUUAUUAUACUUGAUAUGGUGUGUUUUAUUCAAGUUAUUAACCACAUCUCUUACAAAUUUUCCUUGAGAUACAUAUUUAUAUGCAGGAAUGAUUGUCUUGACGAAUAAUCAUUUAUGCUAACUUGGUAUUGGUAGUUCCUGGUCAUAGGUAACAGACCAGUACUUGUUUAGUGCAGACAACUGACUAUUCUUUUUUCUGAACUUUUUUGUGAUAUGUGUGUUAUGUGGAUAUCAUAUUCCAAUGCUUUUCUAAGUAUUUAAGGUACAGACAUGUGGAUCUGGAAAUGUCACAUUUGCUCUUUAUUGUGUUGCUAAGGACACUGAACGGUUUGGCUGGGCCACUGCACGGCCUGGCUAAUUAGCAGGAAGUGUUGCUCCGGAUCAAAUCUGUAAUGGAAGAGACUAGGAGUAACAUUACAACCGACCAACUUAAAGAAUAUGUAUAGAAGACACCAAAGAGUAGAAAGGUUGUAGUGAUUAGGGAAGCUUGCAGAACUGUAUGAAUUUGAAAAACAAUGGUCGAGAGCAGCACAAAUGCUUAGUGGCAUUGACUUGGAAUCAGGAAUCAAGUAGAAGCAAAGCUUUUGUCUCUCUUUACAUGUCAUUGGAUAUUCUGGGAAAUCUGACCAUCUUCUUAAAAAUCGGGAUGCUUGAUGACACAAACAAAUUAUCCAAGUGUGUCCAGAUUGCAUGACUCUAUUUGGAGGAUGAUGAUGCAGUGAAUGCUGAAGCUUUUAUCAACAGAGCCUCGUUUUUUGUCACAAACAGCAACCAGGAAGUUCUGGACUUACAGUACAAGGUCUGCUAUGAGAGAAUUUUAGAUCGAAAAAGUUGCACUUCAAUACUAUGGUAUCUCUCAAAUUGAGCAACGCCAAAUUGGGGAUGAGUAAGGCUCCAUUCAGUUGUAGAUUUGUUUCUCUCGUGCAAUUUACUUGUUUGUAAUGUUCUGUCUUGUAUGGUUCUUUGUUCCCUUGCUGGUGUAGUGGUGCCUAAUUUCUGUUUUACACCCUUCAAAUAUUUCAAUAUUUUGCUUACUAGAUGUAAUAAAUUACCCUACUUGAUACUCAUGUUUAAGUACUGCAGUGGUUAUUAGCAAGUCGUGUUUGGAACUGACACGACCUCCAUAUUUUAUUCUUAUAGAUCUUGAUGGAACAUUGUUUCUGCAUUUUCUCAGAUAGAUUGAUGAAAAUGCUCUUGAGCAAGCUCUUAGUGCUGCUGUAACAUGCACAAUAUUGUAACUGAUGAGAGGCAACCACUGUUGCCAACUUGAAAUCAGUUUACUCAUUCAAGUUCUAAAAUUUCUUUUUAGCUUUCUAAGUUUACUUCGGUCUUGCAUGUAUUAGGUUUCUCUUUGUGCCCCUAUCUAUGUUUGUUUCUUGUGUGCAAGUGCUCCAUUCUCUGUGUGUGUGACUGUGUGUGACUUGAUGGUGAAUAUGUGUGUGGCUUGACUCUGUGUGUGGUUUGACUUUGUGUGUGUGGCUUGACUCUGUGUGUGUUUGGCUUGACUGUGUGUGAGACUACGUGUGGCUUGAUGUUGAAUAUGUGUGUGGCUUGACUAUGUGUGUGACUGUGUGUGGCUUGACUCUGUGUGAGACUGUGUGUGGCUUGACUGUGUGUGUGACUGUGUGUGGCUUGAUGGUGAAUGUGUGGGGCUUGACUCUAUGUGUGUGUGACUUUGUGAAAAUUGCAUUUGUUUGAUGGUGUGGCUUGUAUGCUUUGCUGAAUGUUUGGUUGUAUAACUUGUGUUUUAUGUCACGACUGAUUGGUUUGCUGUUUGUUGAAUGUGAACAGACCUAUCACUAUUCUUUUUUCUGAACUUUUUUGUGAUAUCAUAUCCUUUUUUGUAUUACUGCUGUCCAGUCACUGGAAUAAUGCUUUUCUCUAAGUUUCUAAGGUACAAACAUUGGAUCCGGACAUGUCACAUGGGCUCUUUAUUGUGUUUCUAAGGACACUGAUGGGUUGGGUUUGCAUGCAACGCAGAUGUGUUGUAUCCAUAACUACCUAUUGGCACUUGAUAUUUGUGCUCAAAAUGCAGUAAGGACCAACAAAAUGGUCUCAUUGCAAGGUCACUCCCUGGACGUAUAGGCAAGCAAUGUCAAGAGAGGUGGCAUAAUCAUCUGAAUCCAGAAUACAGAGAGAUGCUUGGACUACUGAGGAACAUGCACAAAUUAAUGCCCAUCGGGUAUAUGGGAAUAAAUGGGCAGAAAUAGCAAAAGUUGUUCCUAGAAGACAUCGGAACAUUGCAGGAGUGGGGUACUUCCAUUUGUGUAACUUCUAUUUGUUAUCAGUUCUUCUCACCUAUAGCUAAAGUCAAAGACGCUGAAUUAUUGGAGUGGCAAGAUACACCGAAUCUGUUGGGGAUGUUACCACUGGGUGUAAACCGGCCAGGAGAGGCCGGGUUAACCCCAUAAGUAGUUCAUCUGUAUCUGAAGCCCAUGAAGACAGACGGUGACGCCUCAUGAAGGCCCAGGGCCCAAAGCCGGUUUAAGGCCUGUAGACACAAACCGACACUGAUAUGUAAACUUGUGUUGUAAGAUAGAAGUAGCAGAGACCG